ACCUUCUGCUAGCCCUAUACCCUUACUAUACACUUCCGGGAACUCCACAAUGGGCUGGGGGAUGGGAAAGUGCUUGGAUAGGAUGGUGUAUUGUUUACAUUUGCAUGCCAAACUAUCAGACCAUUAAAGCACCCCUAACACAAAGCAUAACUGAAGGAGCAGAAGAGUAUGGGUGUCUAGGCAUCACAAGUAGGACAUUCUGCUGAGUUGUGGGUGGAUAAGGUGGCAAAUAAAUUGAAAAAUAAACACUAGGGCCCUCAUCUGAAUCAAACGGAGGACCACAGUCCAACAGGGUGGUAGUGUUAAACACUGUACAACUGCUUCCCUGAUGUUCAGCUGCCCUGGCUUGAAAUCACAGGAGUAAAAAAGAGAAGAAAGAAAAAGCCAUCUGCCACGCCAAUAAAUCAGUUUGGAAAAGACUGUUCUAAAAGGCAAGGAAGAUCAUUGAAGGCAUUAUUAUUAUGCAGGGACAAGUGCUGGUAGGGAGGGGGCACAAGGUCCAGGAGCCGUCCAGUAACACAAUACAUGGUACAACCAUAAUAGUACAGAACCAGGGCUCACAAUUUUAUUUUCAUGUUUUGUUUUUUUUUUCACAUUUUGCCCUUUUUUUUUUUUAUUGGAGGUCAUACAAUAUAUAUAUAUAUACAAGAUCUGGAAGGAAAACAAGUAUUCAUUAUUCCUUUGUUUGUUCAUUAACAUGUGAGAUUCUGAUGUACCCAUUCAUAUCACAGUAUAUUUAUAUGUCUAGGUAUAACACAGGAACAACCUAAUCAAUUCUGCUUGGAUACCAGGCCAGCCAUUGGAAUAACUAAGUACCACACCUAUAAAUGGGGUUGGGUUAAUCGAACAGUGAGCUGUAGUAACGGUAAGGGCAAUAAAUAAGAAGGGGGAGGGUGUACGGCUAAAGAGAGGAUGACAAUCCCCUGAGGGGAGCAAGGGACAGGUGCGGCAUUGCUAAGGAGCGAGAGAAGCAGGACGGAACGUUGCCCUGGGAAUACACGCUUUCCCGCCCAUGGUGCUUGCUUUUGAUUGGCUGGAAGGCUUGGGACACUAUUCGCGCGCUCAGCCUCCACCCUGCGGGCGCGUAGCCGCUUUCGCUAAUGACAAUCACUGUGGUUGUCCCCUUUACUGCUCAAACCAGGGAAGGGAUUCAGCUCCACAGACGAAAAGCCUGACUGUAUACAGUAGCGCGGCAUGUGACGUUCUUAAAUAGAGCCAGCCUCCCCUCCACCCUUAUUAGAAUGGUGCGCCCCAAUGACUCCCCUCUGGGUUCAACAGCUGCAAAACAGGAGCAGUGACGCAAUAAUCUCCUUCACCAACACCCUGAAAAGAAGGCAGCGACCGUGUAAAACUGCAAUGGGCAAGAGUGGCAGCACAUGGCUGCCCCCAAGCAACACAACUGUGUACUACUACCCCCCCCCCAUGCACAGGCUUCAAGCAAGGUGCUCGUCACGUAUAGGGUGCUACACUGUAGCGCCUCGGCUCUUGCUCUACUACAACUCCCACAAUCCUUCGCCAACCCGAAGGGCCAUAGCGUUGUAGUGCAGCCUGCAGAUGCCUAUAUGUCAAGACACAGGCAUCAUCCGUUCAAGAUAUCGCCCGAGCAUCCUUAGAAUUAAAACGCUUUUUAUACAUAUAUAACUCCACCUCUACAGCCUGUUAGCCUAUUCCUGUCAGGAAAGGAAACGGAGCAGCAAAUGCCGUCAGUAGAAGCCGUACAAUACUGUACUCCUGUAAAA